AGUGAACGCUGGCGGUAGGCCUAACACAUGCAAGUCGAACGGCAGCACAGUAAGAGCUUGCUCUUACGGGUGGCGAGUGGCGGACGGGUGAGGAAUACAUCGGAAUCUACUUUUUCGUGGGGGAUAACGUAGGGAAACUUACGCUAAUACUGCAUACGACCUACGGGUGAAAGCAGGGGAUCUUCGGACCUUGCGCGAUUGAAUGAGCCGAUGUCGGAUUAGCUAGUUGGCGGGGUAAAGGCCCACCAAGGCGACGAUCCGUAGCUGGUCUGAGAGGAUGAUCAGCCACACUGGAACUGAGACACGGUCCAGACUCCUACGGGAGGCAGCAGUGGGGAAUAUUGGACAAUGGGCGAAAGCCUGAUCCAGCCAUACCGCGUGGGUGAAGAAGGCCUUCGGGUUGUAAAGCCCUUUUGUUGGGAAAGAAAAGCAGCAGGUUAAUACCCCGCUGUUCUGACGGUACCCAAAGAAUAAGCACCGGCUAACUUCGUG
rnacentral:rRNA from 1 species